rnacentral:rRNA from 1 species
AUUGAACGCUGGCGGCAUGCCUUACACAUGCAAGUCGAACGGCAGCACGGGAGCAAUCCUGGUGGCGAGUGGCGAACGGGUGAGUAAAGUAUCGGAACGUGCCCAGUCGUGGGGGAUAACGUAGCGAAAGUUACGCUAAUACCGCAUACGAGCUAUGGAUGAAAGCGUGGCAUCGCAAGACCUCGCGCGAUGGGAGCGGCUGAUAUCAGAUUAGGUAGUUGGUGGGGUAAAGGCUCACCAAGCCGACGAGCUGUAGCUGGUCUGAGAGGACGACCAGCCACACUGGGACGGAGACACGGCCCAGACUCCUACGGGAGGCAGCAGUGGGGAAUUUUGGACAAUGGGCGAAAGCCUGAUCCAGCCAUGCCGCGUGCAGGAUGAAGGCCUUCGGGUUGUAAACUGCUUUUGUACGGAACGAAAAGGUUUGGGCUAAUAAGCUGAGCUCAUGACGGUACCGUAAGAAUAAGCACCGGCUAACUACGUGCCAGCCGCCGCAGUAA